UUCUCCUACGGGGGGCAGCAGUAGGGAAUCUUCCACAAUGGGCGAAAGCCUGAUGGAGCAACGCCGCGUGGGUGAAGAAGGUCUUCGGAUCGUAAAACCCUGUUGUUAGAGAAGAAAGUGCGUGAGAGUAACUGUUCACGUUUCGACGGUAUCUAACCAGAAAGCCACGGCUAACUACGUGCCAGCAGCCGCGGUAAUACGUAGGUGGCAAGCGUUAUCCGGAUUUAUUGGGCGUAAAGGGUGCGCAGGCGGGCCUUUAAGCCGGCGGUGAA
rnacentral:rRNA from 1 species